GAUGAACGCUGGCGGCGUGCCUAAUACAUGCAAGUCGAGCGAACUGAUUAGAAGCUUGCUUCUAUGACGUUAGCGGCGGACGGGUGAGUAACACGUGGGCAACCUGCCUGUAAGACUGGGAUAACUUCGGGAAACCGAAGCUAAUACCGGAUAGGAUCCUCUCCUUCAUGGGAGUUGAUUGAAAGAUGGUUUCGGCUAUCACUUACAGAUGGGCCCGCGGUGCAUUAGCUAGUUGGUGAGGUAACGGCUCACCAAGGCAACGAUGCAUAGCCGGCCUGGGAGGGUGAUCGGCCACACUGGGACUGAGACACGGCCCAGACUCCUACGGGGGGCAGCAGUAGGGAAUCUUCCGCAAUGGACGAAAGUCUGACGGAGCAACGCCGCGUGAGUGAUGAAGGCUUUCGGGUCGUAAAACUCUGUUGUUAGGGAAGAAUAAGUACAAGAGUAACUGCUUGUACCUUGACGGUACCUAACCAGAAAGCCACGGCUAACUACGUGCCAGCCGCCGCCGUAA
rnacentral:rRNA from 1 species